CAGUCGCCGCGGGAAUACAGAGGGUGCGAGCGUUAAUCGGAUUUACUGGGCGUAAAGCGUGCGUAGGCGGCUUCUUAAGUCGGAUGUGAAAUCCCUGAGCUUAACUUAGGAAUUGCAUUCGAUACUGGGAAGCUAGAGUAUGGGAGAGGAUGGUAGAAUUCCAGGUGUAGCGGUGAAAUGCGUAGAGAUCUGGAGGAAUACCGAUGGCGAAGGCAGCCAUCUGGCCUAAUACUGACGCUGAGGUACGAAAGCAUGGGGAGCAAACAGGAUUAGAGACCCGCGUAGUCCCUGUCUCUUAUAC
rnacentral:rRNA from 1 species